AAGACUAUACUUUUAGGGAUCAUUUCUAUAGCUUUUGGUUUGGAAAUGUGUUUCAAAAAGUUUGUCUUCCUAUCCACGAUGAUGAGUUUUGAUGCUCUUUUCUUAGCAGGAAUCAAGCACUGAGAGGUGAUUUUGUUCGUAUCUCUUUGCUGUUGAUGAAUUUUCUGUGUUGUUUUUGACAAUAUGGAUGAAAAGAGCAUGAUCAGAGUGGU